rnacentral:tRNA from 1 species
UCUCUGGUGGUUUACUAGCUAAAACUCUGUGCUCUCAAUGCAGGGGGCCCAGGUUCAAUUCCUGAUCAAGGAA